rfam:Rhizobium phage RHEph01, complete genome.
UGGCUUGUAGCUCAAUGGUAGAGCGAGCGACUGUUAAUCGGUUGAUGUAGGUUCGAUCCCUGCCAAGUCAG